rnacentral:tRNA from 1 species
CCCCGUGUGGCUCAGUUGGUAGAGCGUGGUACUUGCAACGCCAGGGUUGUUCGAUUCCCACGGGGG